rnacentral:rRNA from 1 species
CAGCAGCCGCGGGAAUACGGAGGGCGCGAGCGUUACCCGGAUUUACUGGGCAUAAAGGGCGUGUAGGCGGCCUGGGGCGUCCCAUGUGAAAGGCCACGGCUCAACCGUGGAGGAGCGUGGGAUACGCUCAGGCUAGAGGGUGGGAGAGGGUGGUGGAAUUCCCGGAGUAGCGGUGAAAUGCGCAGAUACCGGGAGGAACGCCGAUGGCGAAGGCAGCCACCUGGUCCACUUCUGACGCUGAGGCGCGAAAGCGUGGGGAGCAAACCGGAUUAGAUACCCCUGUAGUCCCUGUCUCUUAUAC